UAGCAUGGAAUAAUGGAAUAGGACUUUGGUUCUAUUUUGUUGGUUCUAGGACCGAAGUAAUGAUUAAUAGGGAUAGUUGGGGCCGUUAGUAUUUAAUCGUCAGAGGUGAAAUUCUUGGAUUUAUGAAAGACUAACUUCUGCGAAAGCAUUCGGCAAGCAUGUUCUCAUUAAUCAAGAACGAAAGUUAGGGGAUCGAAGACGAUCAGAUACCGUCGUAGUCUUAACCAUAAACUAUGCCGACUAGGGAUCGGGCGAUGUUAUCUUUUUGACUCGCUCGGCACCUUACGAGAAAUCAAAGUUUUUGGGUUCUGGGGGGAGUAUGGUCGCAAGGCUGAAACUUAAAGAAAUUGACGGAAAGGCACCACCAGGAGUGGAGCCUGCGGCUUAAUUUGACUCAACACGGGGAAACUCACCAGGUCCAGACACAAUAAGGAUUGACAGAUUGAGAGCUCUUUCUUGAUUUUGUGGGUGGUGGUGCAUGGCCGUUCUUAGUUGGUGGAGUGAUUUGUCUGCUUAAUUGCGAUAACGAACGAGACCUUAACCUGCUAAAUAGCCCGGCUAGCUUUGGCUGGUCGCUGGCUUCUUAGAGGGACUAUCGGCUCAAGCCGAUGGAAGUUUGAGGCAAUAACAGGUCUGUGAUGCCCUUAAAUGUUCUGGGCCGCACGCGCGCUACACUGACAGAGCCAACGAGUUCAUACCUUGACCGAAAGGUCUGGGUAAUCUUGUUAAACUCUGUCGUGCUGGGGAUAGAGCAUUGCAAU
rnacentral:rRNA from 1 species